GUGAGGGAUCGCUGUCCUGAUAUCCAGAAGCUCUUUGUCUAAUCCGAGGUGAGGGAUCGCUGUCCUGAUAUCCAGAAGCUCUUUGUCUAAUCCGAGGUGAGGGAUCGCUGUCCUGAUAUCCAGAAGCUCUUUGUCUAAUCCGAGGUGAGGGAUCGCUGUCCUGAUAUCCAGAAGCUCUUUGUCUAAUCCGAGGUGAGGGAUCGCUGUCCUGAUAUCCAGAAGCUCUUUGUCUAAUCCGAGGUGAGGGAUCGCUGUCCUGAUAUCCAGAAGCUCUUUGUCUAAUCCGAGGUGAGGGAUCGCUGUCCUGAUAUCCAGAAGCUCUUUGUCUAAUCCGAGGUGAGGGAUCGCUGUCCUGAUAUCCAGAAGCUCUUUGUCUAAUCCGAGGUGAGGGAUCGCUGUCCUGAUAUCCAGAAGCUCUUUGUCUAAUCCGAGGUGAGGGAUCGCUGUCCUGAUAUCCAGAAGCUCUUUGUCUAAUCCGAGGUGAGGGAUCGCUGUCCUGAUAUCCAGAAGCUCUUUGUCUAAUCCGAGGUGAGGGAUCGCUGUCCUGAUAUCCAGAAGCUCUUUGUCUAAUCCGAGGUGAGGGAUCGCUGUCCUGAUAUCCAGAAGCUCUUUGUCUAAUCCGAGGUGAGGGAUCGCUGUCCUGAUAUCCAGAAGCUCUUUGUCUAAUCCGAGGUGAGGGAUCGCUGUCCUGAUAUCCAGAAGCUCUUUGUCUAAUCCGAGGUGAGGGAUCGCUGUCCUGAUAUCCAGAAGCUCUUUGUCUAAUCCGAGGUGAGGGAUCGCUGUCCUGAUAUCCAGAAGCUCUUUGUCUAAUCCGAGGUGAGGGAUCGCUGUCCUGAUA